rnacentral:SRP_RNA from 1 species
GCCGGGCAUGGUGGUGCAUGCCUGUAAUCCCAGCUACUCAGGAGGCUGAGGCAGAAGAAUUGCUUGAACCUGGGGGUCAGGGUUUGCAGUGAGCUGAGAUCGCACCAUUGCACUCCAGCCUGGGCGACAGAGCGAGACUCUGUCUCAA